CCUACGGGUGGCAGCAGUGAGGAAUAUUGGUCAAUUGGCGCGAGCCUGAACCAGCCAAGUCGCGUGAGGGCAGACGGUCCUAUGGAUUGUAAACCUCUUUUGUCGGGGAGCAAAAGACGCCACGCGUGGCGUUCCGAGAGUAACCGAAAAAAAAGCCUCGGCUAACUCCGUACCAGCAGCCGCGUUAAUACGGAGGAUGCGAGCUUUAUCCGGAUUGAUUGGGGGUAAAGGGUGCGCAGGCGGAAGAUCAAGUCAGCGGUAAAAUUGAGAGGCUCAACCUCUUCGAGCCGUUGAAACUGGUUUUCUGGAGUGAGCGAGAAUUAUGCGGAAUGCGUGGUGUAGCGGUGAAAUGCAUAGAUAUCACGCAGAACUCCGAUUGCGAAGGCAGCAUACCGGCGCUCAACUGACGCUCAUGCACGAAAGUGUGGGUAUCGAACAGGAUUAGAUACCCGGGUAGUC
rnacentral:rRNA from 1 species